CCUACGGGCGGCAGCAGUGGGGAAUAUUGGACAAUGGGCGAAAGCCUGAUCCAGCCAUGCCGCGUGUGUGAAGAAGGCCUUCGGGUUGUAAAGCACUUUCAGUGGGGAAGAAAGCCUUGGGGCUAAUACCCUCGAGGAAGGACAUCACCCACAGAAGAAGCACCGGCUAACUCCGUGCCAGCAGCCGCGGUAAUACGGAGGGUGCGAGCGUUAAUCGGAAUUACUGGGCGUAAAGCGCGCGUAGGCGGUCUGAUAAGCCGGUUGUGAAAGCCCCGGGCUCAACCUGGGAACGGCAUCCGGAACUGUCAGGCUAGAGUGCAGGAGAGGAAGGUAGAAUUCCCGGUGUAGCGGUGAAAUGCGUAGAGAUCGGGAGGAAUACCAGUGGCGAAGGCGGCCUUCUGGACUGACACUGACGCUGAGGUGCGAAAGCGUGGGUAGCAAACAGGAUUAGAUACCCUGUAGU
rnacentral:rRNA from 1 species